rnacentral:rRNA from 1 species
UACGUAGGGGGCAAGCGUUGUCCGGAUUUAUUGGGCGUAAAGAGCGUGUAGGCGGCUUUGCAAGUCCGUUGUGAAAACUCGAGGCUCAACCUCGAGACGCCGGUGGAAACUGCAAAGCUAGAGUCCGGAAGAGGAGAGUGGAAUUCCUGGUGUAGCGGUGAAAUGCGCAGAUAUCGGAAGGAACACCAGUGGCGAAAGCGGCUUCCUGGUCCAGCACCGACGUUCAGGCACGAAAGCGUGGGGAGCAAACAGG